rnacentral:misc_RNA from 1 species
CCGAGUUUACAACUCCCAAACCCCUGUGAACAUACCUAUAUGUUGCCUCGGCGGAUCAGCCCGCGCCCCGUAAAACGGGACGGCCCGCCGCAGGAUCCACAAAUUCUGUUUUUAUUGUAACUUCUGAGUAACAAAACAAAUAAAUCA